rnacentral:rRNA from 1 species
CACUAUAGGCGAUGGAUUAGCGCGCGACUCGCCUGUGCAGGCAGCCGCGGUAAUUCCAGCUCCAAUAGCGUAUAUUAAAGUUGUUGUGGUUAAAAAGCUCGUAGUUGGAUCUCGGCGGACUGAGGGCGGUUUGCUUGCUAGUAUUACUGCCCUAUAGUCCGUAGUUUUGCCAGAGGUUUCGGGGUGCUCUUAAUCGAGUGUCCCGGGAUGCUGGCAGGUUUACUUUGAAAAAAUUAGAGUGCUCAAAGCAGGCUAUUACGCCUGAAUAUUCGUGCAUGGAAUAAUAGAAUAGGAAGUCGUUUCUAUUUUGUUGGUUUUCGGAAAUCGACUUAAUGAUUAAUAGGGACAGUCGGGGGCAUUUGUAUUCAAACGACAGAGGUGAAAUUCUUGGACCGUUUGAAGACAAACUACUGCGAAAGCAUUUGCCAAGAAUGUUUUCAUUAAUCAAGAACGAAAGUUAAAGGUUCGAAGGCGAUUAGAUACCGCCCUAGUUUUAACCAUAAACGAUGCCAGCUAGCGACCUGCGGACGUUUUUUUUGUAGACUCCGCAGGAAGCUUCCGGGAAACCAAAGCAUUUGGGUUCCAGGGGAAGUAUGGUUGCAAAGCUGAAACUUAAAGGAAUUGACGGAAGGGCACCACCAGGAGUGGAGCCUGUGGCUUAAUUUGACUCAACACGGGAAAUCUCACCAGGCCCGGACACUGGAAGGAUUGACAGAUUGAUAGCUCUUUCUUGAUUCGGUGGGUGGUGGUGCAUGGCCGUUCUUAGUUGGUGGAGUGAUUUGUCUGGUUAAUUCCGAUAACGAACGAGACUCUGUCCUGCUAAAUAGUGUCUGCUUCUCUUUUGAGCAGACAAUUCUUCUUAGAGGGACUGGCGACUCUUAGUCGCACGAGAUUGAGCAAUAACAGGUCUGUGAUGCCCA